AACGAACGCUGGCGGCAGGCCUAACACAUGCAAGUCGAACGCACCGCAAGGUGAGUGGCGCACGGGUGAGUAACACGUGGGAAUGUACCCUUUGGUUCGGAAUAACGUUUGGAAACGAACGCUAAUACCGGAUGAGCCCUGCGGGGGAAAGAUUUAUCGCCAAAGGAGCAGCCCGCGUCUGAUUAGCUAGUUGGUGGGUAAAGGCCUACCAAGGCGACGAUCAGUAGCUGGUCUGAGAGGAUGAUCAGCCACACUGGGACUGAGACACGGCCCAGACUCCUACGGGAGGCAGCAGUGGGGAAUAUUGGACAAUGGGCGCAAGCCUGAUCCAGCCAUGCCGCGUGAGUGAUGAAGGCC
rnacentral:rRNA from 1 species